UCUGGGGAUAUUACAAAAUCCCGCGAUAGGACAGAUUAUCUCGCGAGAUAGUGGUGACGUCACGCGUUCUUCCGGAAGUUCACAUUCAAACACGAGGAGCGAUUACGAGGGAGUUUUGUCUAUAUAUCAUUCAAAAUCUACUGUUGGGAAAAGCAGAACCUCAUCCAAAUAAAAAAUAAACAAGCUGUUAAAGGCACUGUGUCCUACACAGACCCUCCAAAAUAUAACCACCCAAAACCCAAGUCAGUUGAAGGUCAACACAAACCAAAUAAAGAUGUGCAUUCUACAAACAAUAAAAAAAGAUCAAGUUUUGUGUCCACCACACUUAGAUGAGGCGUGCCCGACCCCUGACUUUGUCUACCCUACAUUAAGUUGCACACUUCAUGACAGUAAACAUCGGUAUCACAAUGGUGUGAUUGAUCUAUACCCUAGAAUAAGCUGUGACACUAUGAGACGUGAGGUAACACAACGAAAAAAUUACCGGAUGGAGACUACCUGAUUCUUCACCUAUGGCCUCACCUUCAAAUGCAACAUGUAAG